GACAGAGGGUGCGAACGUUGUUCGGAAUUACUGGGCGUAAAGCGCGUGUAGGCGGCAACGCAAGUCGGGCGUGAAAUCCCACGGCUCAACCGUGGAAGUGCACUCGAAACUGCGUAGCUAGAGUCCUGGAGAGGAAGGUAGAAUGCUUGGUGUAGAGGUGAAAUUCGUAGAUAUCAAGCGGAACACCGGUGGCGAAGGCGGCCUUCUGGACAGUGACUGACGCUGAGACGCGAAAGCGUGGGGAGCAAACAGG
rnacentral:rRNA from 1 species